UACGAAGGGGGCUAGCGUUGCUCGGAAUUACUGGGCGUAAAGCGCACGUAGGCGGUCUUUUAAGUCGGGGGUGAAAUCCUGGAGCUCAACUCCAGAACUGCCUUCGAUACUGGAAGACUUGAGUUCGGGAGAGGUGAGUGGAACUGCGAGUGUAGAGGUGAAAUUCGUAGAUAUUCGCAAGAACACCAGUGGCGAAGGCGGCUCACUGGCCCGAUACUGACGCUGAGGCACGAAAGCGUGGGGAGCAAACAGGG
rnacentral:rRNA from 1 species